rnacentral:rRNA from 1 species
UACGAAGGGGGCUAGCGUUGUUCGGAAUUACUGGGCGUAAAGCGCGUGUAGGCGGGUCUUUAAGUCAGGGGUGAAAUGCCAAGGCUCAACCUUGGAACUGCCUUUGAUACUGGAGACCUUGAGUCCGGGAGAGGUGAGUGGAAUUGCGAGUGUAGAGGUGAAAUUCGUAGAUAUUCGGAGGAACACCAGUGGCGAAGGCGGCUCACUGGCUCGGUACUGACGCUGAGGUGCGAAAGCGUGGGGAGCAAACAGG